UACGUAGGGUGCAAGCGUUGUCCGGAAUUAUUGGGCGUAAAGAGCGUGUAGGCGGCCCGAUUAGUCCGCUGUGAAAGUCCAGGGCUCAACCCUGGAAUGCCGGUGGAUACUGUCGGGCUAGAGUCCGGAAGGGGCGAGUGGAAUUCCUGGUGUAGCGGUGAAAUGCGUAGAUAUCUGCAGGAACACCCGUGGCGAAAGCGGCGCGCUGGACCACUACUGACGCUGAGGAACGAAAGCUAGGGGAGCAAACGGG
rnacentral:rRNA from 1 species